CUCUCCCCACAUCCCCCCCUCCCGUCGCUUGCAACUUGGCUGGAGAGAUCUCCUCCCCCGCCCCCUUUCCCAGUCCCUCCAUGCCCCGACCUGAACUUUAGCAACCCGGGGGCUCCGGCUUAGGGAGCAACCCGGAGAGCCUUGCCAGGCGGAGAACAUGAUUUGAAGCCGGGGAGGCGGCCAAAAGGGACGCAGUGAGCCGAGCGCUUUGGCGGAGACUCCAGAAGAUGAGCCACGCAGAUCUUACAAAGCCACCAUUAGCACCAAAACCAAAGAUUCUCAGUCAUCUCGCUUCCAUAGCUGCUUCCAAAUUUCCUCCGUCGCUAUCAAGGUCUGGCGCACUUAACAAUUCAAACUCUAUGUCUAGGGGUCCAAAACCACCCAUUGCUCCCAAGCCAAAAAUCUCUGCAGACAACGAUCCAUCGAUUCUACAGCGAUCCAGUGUUCAUGCCAACAACACCUUGAACAAAUGUACCAAUGGAAAACUGGAGGGAGAGCUUUAUGAAGGAAAUCAGUGCAACAACACAGAGUUCUUAGGAUCAGAAGCUGAUGAUGAAUAUAUAGUGAUUCCUGAAGAUGAAUUGAUUGAUAAAGUUUAUGACUUUGAACAUGAGCAAGAAUCAGCAGAGAACGAGAUCUUGCACACUCCCGAGGAAGCACAUGAAGAAAAGGAUGGCUGUACCCACAGCAGUGACAUCGGUGACCUUGAAAUAAAUUUAUUGGAGAACGAUGAAACUGAACCAUCCGAAACUCAAGCUCUUGGCAACACUGAAGCCCUUGAAAAGGAGGGUGCUUCUGAGGGUGCGUAUGACAAGGUGGAUUGUGAAACUGAUGCCAACGAGGAGGAGAUGAACUGUGCAGAUGAGUCUGAUGAAGCACCGCAAGAACUGCAACUGGUAAAGGAUAAUAAUGAGUAUAAUAUGGACAAUAAGAUUUUGAAUGGAGAUGAGGCUUUGAAUGAUGUCAUAUGUGAAGAUAUUAUUUUACAGCAUUUAGACGUGCCAACAUCGUCUUCAGAGGAUCAGCCACCAAUUUGUGAGGCCCCAGGAGAGGAAGGUCUAGCUCAGAUUUUAGAAGAGGAGCAGUCUAAUGCUGAUGCAGAAAUGGGCCCAAUGGAUAAUGAUGGGGUUGAAUCAGCCUCAAAUAUAGAAACAGAGUUUUCAGAGGAUGCUUGUGCAAGCCUAAGCGAUCCCCUUGCUAAUGAUUCUGAAGAAGUAGAUACUGGAUUAGAACUACAUGAAGCUAGUCCUGAUCCUGAAGAUACUUUGGGAGAGGCCACAAAUGAAGCCGGUGCUGAAAAGGAGGAGGAACAAGACCCAGAGGAUGAAUGUGAAACAAGCGUAGAACAGGAAGAAAAUACAAGUGAUGGCUACCAAACCACUGAGAUGAAGAGUGAGGAAGAAACAUCAGAGGCAGCAUGUGAUACAAGGGAAGACUCCAAAGAACAAAAUGAUGAAGUGGUGGAGACAGAGUCCAUGGACGACAGCUGCCAGAUCAUUCCCUUUGAAAAAGAGUGCAGUGAGGAUGCUCCUGACUCUUCUGAAGAAGAUUUGCCAUUAGAAGGGACUGAAAUGAACGGUGAUAACCAGCCCUUCAGCCUUCAAGAAGUUAAUGAGCUCGAAUCUGACUCGCAGCUGGCAGAAAGAUCCAAGUCAGAUGUUUUACCUGGAGAUCACAGCAUAAGUGAGUGUGCUUUGGAAGAUACACAAUCAGAUAACCAAAUGCUUGCAGUGGAUCCCAGCAGUGUUGAAGAUACUGCCCCAAGUACACCUGAUGAAGGUACAGCUGAAGGUACCCAGCACUCCACAGGAGAACUGGACGUUUGCCACCCCGAAGAAACGGAAAUAGACUCAGGCAGUGAAUAUGUGAUUGAUGGAACUUCAGCAGUCCCUGAAGUGGUGGUUGUUCCUGAUAAUGAUGGAGAAAUCAGCAGUGACUCCCUAGAUGACCCAUACGUAUUGGGAGACAGCUUGCCUUCAGCAAAUGAAAUCCUCUGUGCUGGAAAAGAAAUGGGGGAGGCUGGUGUCCAAGAUAGUUCAAGUGAUUUCAGAGAGGGAGGGGGAAUGGACAGCGAAAACCACUUGCUCUCCAUUGAUCGGAAAAGCAUUGUUACUAGAACAAGGUCCCUCUCCGGGAAAGUGCCUGGGUAUGUGCCAGAAACAGUUCCAGAAGAAACAGGCCCAGACACUGAACUGCAGUCCUCAGCCACUGCUUCCACCAUGUCUGAAGAUGUAAGCCAUAGCUUCUCUCUGUCAGAAGGAAAGCCCAUGGAAAUGAAUAGAGCCCUACCUGCAAAGCCAAGGCGCUUUGUUUUAUACCCUCGAUCUUUUUCAGUAGAAGGCAGAGAUAUCCCUGUCUCUGUAUAUAGAGAAAGUGAUACCUCCAUGUUGGAUUACAAUAGAAUAAACAGGACAGAAGACCUCUCUUUGCCUUGUGUCAUUGGUUCCUCGGGUAGUUUUUCCCAGAGGAAUCACCUUCCAUCCAGUGGGGUCUCCACCCCGUCCUCAGUUGUGGAUAUUCCACCUCCCUUUGAACUAGCCUGUAUCACCAAGAAGCCAAUAACAAAAAGUUCGCCAUCACUUUUAAUUGAGAAUGACUCUCCUGAUAAGUACUGCAAGAAAAAGAAGUCCUCUUUCAAGAAGUUCCUCACCUUAAAGUUCAAGAAGAAGACGGAAAAUAAAGUCCAUGUGGACGUACAUGUUUCUUCUUCAAGGUCCUCCUCAGAGUCUAGUUAUCAUGGGCCUUCCAGACUCAUGGAACUUGACAGGAGGAGUUUGAGUAGCUCCCCUCAGCUAAUAUCACGGACCGGCAAGCUGAGGGCAUCUGAGUCUCCAACUGUUCUCUUCUACAAGGACGGCAAAAGAAAAGGGACGCCCAAAACCUUUAGUAGGAGUGUGUCACGGGUGGAGUCUUUUGAGGAUCGCUCCAGGCCUCCUUUCAUGCCCCUUCCUUUAACUAAGCCCAGGUCUAUUUCAUUUCCUAAUGCUGAUACUUCUGACUAUGAGAACAUCCCAGCUAUGAACUCCGAUUAUGAAAACAUACAAAUACCCCCACGAAGGCCAACCAGGGCUGGUACCUUUACUGAAUUUUUUGAAGAUCCUAGCAGGGCAUUAUCUGCCGCAAACGAGAAUGACGGCUAUGUGGAUAUGAGCAGUUUUACAGCCUUUGAGAACAACAAGCAGCAACCUACCAGCCAGGAAACUGAAAGUGCCUACACAGAACCUUACAAGGUGUGCCCUAUCUCUGUGAUUCCUGUUGAAGACGUCACAUCAGAUGAGGAACAGAAAAGUUCUGGCGAUGAGGACGGUAACCAGGGAGAUUCCAACCUCCUCCAUAAGAAGGAAGGACAAUCCAGAGCCCACCUCAUUGCCCAGGAGCUUGUGUCUUCAGAGAAAGAAUAUGUGGAGAUGCUCCGGCUGUUACAUAUGGAUUUCUAUGAAGCUGUCUUAAAAGUGCUGGGAGAUGAGGAUAACAAUGACCAUGAAGAAGCAAAGCUCAAGGAAGGAUUGAAUGAGAUCCCAGAAAUCUACAAACUGCACCAAGAAAUACUGGAAGAGCUGGAAGAAAAAGUUCUCAAUUGGGAAGAUCACCAGAAAGUGGCUGACAUUUUCCUCUCCAGGGAAUCAAGGUUCAUUCACCACACGGCUUACAUUAUGCAGUUUGAUAGGAACUUGGCUUUGCUGGAUGAAGCCCGCCUUAAAACUUCCCAGCUGGAUGCUGUCGUUCGGGAAUUUGAGCAGUUUCGUGGUGGCAGUCCCUUGAAUGUGAAACAUCAGCUCUUGAAAGUGGUGCAGCGCAUAUUCCAGUACCAUGUGCUCCUCACAGAUUACUUGAAUAACCUUUGUCCUGAUUCCGCUGAGUAUGAAGAAACACAAGCUGCCUUGCUCAUCGUCUCCGAAGUUGCGGACCGAGCCAAUGACAGCAUGCAACAAGGGGAAAAUUUGCAGAAGCUGGUACAUAUAGAGCACAGUGUCAAGGGACAGAGCAACCUCCUCCAGCCAGGAAGGGUGUUUCUUAAAGAAGGGACGCUAAUGAAAGUGUGUGGGAAAAAUAGGCACCCUCGACAUUUGUUCUUGAUGAAUGAUGUUCUGCUGUAUACGUAUCCCCAGAAGGAUGGCAAGUAUCGCCUGAAGAACACCUUGGCUGUGUCUGGCAUGAGGGUUAGCCGUCCAGUGACAGAAAAGGCACAGAAUGUCCUGAAGAUUGAAUACGCUGAAAAUUGCUUAACUCUAUCAGCAAGCUCAUGCUCUGAAAGGGACGAGUGGUACAGCUGCAUCAGUAGAUGUAUCCCGGAUGACUACAGAGUUCACACUACAGCUGCCUUUCACAACAGUGUUGAACUUCGGGAAAGGCUGGGAAUGUCCUUGGGUGAGAGACCUCCAACCUUGGUACCCGUGUCUCACGUAAUGAUGUGCAUGAAUUGCGGUUGUGACUUCAAACUCACGCUGAGACGUCAUCAUUGCCACGCAUGUGGGAAGAUUAUAUGCCGAAAUUGCUCAAGAAACAAGUAUCCUCUGAAGUACCUCAAAGAUCGGCUUGCAAAAGUCUGUGAUGGCUGCUACACUGAACUGAGGAGGAGAGAGCGGCCACUAAGUGUGAGCUUCCCUACAAGUUCAUCCAGGUUUUCAGGCAGUGCCUUCUCUUCUGUCUUCCACAAUAUCCACUACUCAUCCUUCAAAAGACAAAAGAAAAUCCCUUCAGCUCUUUUGGAGGUAGGAUCAAGGAUGCCUGCAAAAAGGUGGCAGCUUCAGGAGAGGGCUCUUCUAUCAGUGGCUAUCUCAGCAGAUGUAAGAAAGGGAAAAGGCACUGGAAAAAGCUGUGGUUUGUCAUCAAAGGGAAAGUGCUCUACACCUACACAGCGAGUGAGGAUAAAGUCGCCUCAGAGAGUUUGCCUUUGCUGGGUUUCACAAUUGCCCCAGAAAAGGAAGGCGGAAAUGUGAAUGCAGUUUUCCAUCUUUACCACAAGCAAACUCUGUUUUAUAGCUUCCGAGCAGAGGAUAACAAUUCAGCACAGAGAUGGAUUGAAGCCAUGGAGGAAGCAUCUGUAUUAUAGCAGUUAUCAACCAAGGGGACUUUGAAUGAACACAUUUAUAUUUGCAACAGCACCCUUCUGUUGGAAGAAACUGUAUAUAUCCCAGUGUGGCUAAACACACAGAAGAGGACUUGUAUAAGACUAUUUUGUUCCUUUCUCAAGCUUAUUCCCUUACAGGUGGAAACCUUUAAAACAAGGAAUAUUUAUGGUCCUUUUUUCUAUCUUUGCAAGUUCAAGUUCAUCCUUCACUGUACUCCGCUCCCAUAUAAUACAGUUGCAUAUUUUCAAGAUUUAGAAUAAAUGUAUGCAUUAUUUCAAAAAAGAUAUGCUUAGUCACUCAUAGCAACUGGUUCAGUCCUACUUACUUAGAUAGUAAGUCAACUUGUUUCUGUGUCAGCCAUGAAACUGAAGUAUGGUAUCCUAAAUUUUAUUCAGAUUACAGCUUCUUAUCUAAAGAACUCUGGACUGACAUACCACAAAUCCAUUUACAGUACCUGGGUGAAACUGUGUCAUGCUUAUUGGAAUUCCUGCCAAAGAAAGUGUGCGUAAACCACACUGGUAAACCAUUUCAAAGGUUAAUUCAACUUGGCAUUUACAGAGAUGGUGGUAAGUCUUCUUUCUUACCUGUUUCAUCAGUCCUCUGCAAGUCCCAACCUGAUUCUACUGAAGAAUACAUCCAUCUCCACUCCAGAGGAUGUUAAUUCAUUGCAAUCGUUCACAUAAGGUUGUCUGAAACUGAUUGUAUCUAGAUUAUACUGUUUUAAUCAUUGAGGGCAUUGGAUUUUAAGUAGUAAUAUAGUAAUAAGAUGCAUAAUCCAAAUCUAGUGUCAGCAGCACUGAACUCCAAAGGCAGAAAAACAUUUCACUGUAUUGGUGGCAAGACAAGGAAAGCUGGGAGAAAUAUUUCAUUCACAGUUUACACCAGCUCUAUUCAGGCACUCAGGCUGCACCCACACCAUUCAAUGAAAGCACUCUUGCACCACUUUGAUGGCUGUGGCUUCUCACCAAGGAUCCUGGGAGAUGUAGUUUGAGUAUUGGGAACUGUGGCUUAGUGAAGGGUCUCGUAACAACCCUUUGCCCGUAGUUGCCAGGUUUCUUUGGGGGAAGCCAUGACUAUUGCAGUGUUGUAGGAGUACUUUAAACGUAUGAAGGUAAGAGUGGCAAUCACAUACGGUACAUCCGCAUCUUCGAUGCAUGAAGGUCUUAAGGCACAAACCUGUUGUAUGUGCAUAGGCUCCUUGGCCAAGUUAGAACCCUGAUCACAUAAAACAUCUAGGAACCUACAAGCCUAAAGCAGGUUCCCUGCUUAAGACCUUUCCUGCAAUGUGUAGAUUGGGGGAAAGCAGCAAGCACAAGAGCAGGGCCAACUGCUGUUCAUAUGAUGGCAACCAUGUGCAUCUGAGUUGCCUUAGUGGGGCUAUUGCUUCAUCCAGGGAAAUAGACGCAACUACACUCUUUAAUUGUGCCACUCACUUCAGGAAUGGUGGCUGGUAUUUCACUGUAUUCUGCCAACGGAGCAAAUGUAAGCAUACUGUGGCCAUUGGCACAAAUGCUUCCUUGUCUAGCAAAGGAUUACGAAGGUGUGCAGCAGCCAUUACACCCCACAGUGUAUCUCCAGUGGGUGCACGUACUCCUACUGCUCCAUGGGUUUGCAAGCUACCUUGAAUCAGGCUCUGACAGGAAGUAUUUAAAUAGACAAUGUGGUAUAAUGGUUAGCAUAUUGCACCAGGACCAGGAUUCAAAAUCCCACUCAGGCAUGAUGCUCACCGGGUCACUCUUUCUCAGCCUCACCUACCUCACAGGGUUGUUGUGAGGAUAAAACCAGAGGAGGGAGGAGAGAAGCAUAUAUGCCACCUUUAGCUCCCUGGAGGAAAAGAGGGGUAUAAACAUAACAAGAAAUUAAGUAAAUGAAAAUGUUAGUGGAUUUCACACAAUGUAGCAGCUGGUUCAGGAUGAGAUACUGUCUCCCUCAAUGCUCACUUGCAAAUCUGGGCUUUGGUUCAUUCUUUCAAUCGGAGUGCAUCAGCAGGUGAUGGUAGCAGGACCCACAUAAGAGGCUGAUGUGAUGUCUUAAAGUUAGGUAAUAAGGCCAGUAACACAAAUAAACAUCUCCACACUGCUUUUAGAAAAGCAGUCUCUCUUAAAGCCUAGAGAAGCAUUUUAGAACUCCAGUGGCAGAGCAUACUAAAACUGGAUUGAUCUUUCAAGGGUUUUUAUAAGGAUGGGCCUCAUUUUUAAGCCACUGAGACUACCAGAGCGAAGCCAUGUUUUAAGUAUGGUACCCAUUGAUCCAAAGGGUUUGUGCACCAUUUUGCUUGAAAAGCUGUGUUUUAUACCCAAGUAAUGGAGAGGGGAAGGAAUAGUAUUGCAGUAAAGUGACAUAUCCUAAUGCUGCAUUACCAAAUAACUGCUUAGGUUGGGGAUUUUAAGCACUGUGUUAAUCAAAUAUCAUAAUCCAUGUGGAUAUUGCAAUGUCAAUGCUAUUAGUUCUACCAUAGAUCAAUACACUGCUGCACGUUUCUGUGCCAGACCUUUAUCUCAAAUGCUUAUUGUGAGAUCUUCUAGGCAAGCAAAUCCAAGUAGGACUGGGAUCUUAGUGGCAGUCUUUGAGCAUCAGUAUCUUGUGGAAUCUCAGCAAAGCAGAUUUUCAUUCAUUUUUAAAGUUACCUUCAAAAAUUUCAGAUGUACAGUAAAAUACAUUUUUGUUAAAUAAUAAUAAU